rnacentral:lncRNA from 1 species
GAAUUAUACUUGUCUAUGUGAAAGUGGUCCCUUUCUUAAUAGAGGCCCUUGUAUGGUAUAGGUUGUAAUUGUUCAUGUGAAAGUGAUCCCUAUCUUAACAAGCACACUUGUAGCAAGGUUGCAAUUGUUCAUAUGAGAGCAGCCCCUGUCUUAUUUGGGUGAAGUCGGUAUUUUUGAGGUGGAUCAGCAUGUGGGUGUAGGAAGUUUGACCCUACUGGUAUACCAUGGAGCUAAUGCAACAGUAG